rfam:Brassica napus, WGS project CCCW01000000 data, contig: 23731
CUGGUUGAUCCUGCCAGUAGUCAUAUGAUUGUCUCAAAGAUUAAGCCAUGCAUGUGUAAGUAUGAACGAAUUCAGACUGUGAAACUGCGAAUGGCUCAUUAAAUCAGUUAUAGUUUGUUUGAUGGUAACUACUACUCGGAUAACCGUAGUAAUUUUAGAGCUAAUACGUGCAACAAACCCUGACUUCUGGAAGGGAUGCAUUUAUUGGAUAAAAGGUCGACGCGGGCUCUGUGAAGGGACCCGACCCACUUUUUCGUACCAUCAGUACGAGCCUGGCUCGACUUCCUCGAUCAGACUUGGGCCGUUUUCCUAUUUAUCUUUACUUAGGAUUAUUUCCGAGUUUUAGUUCGUUUUCAGACAAUCAAGCAAGCAUAAUAAGAUUUGAAUAGAUUAACUGAGGUUCGAGUUAACAAGUGAGUUUGCUAUAAGCUAUUACAAGUUAAACUCGUCCUACAUCUAACCAAAUCCCCCAUCCUUCCUUCCUGCCUUAGUCCCGCGGUCAACCUAUGUCUUUACCCUUACGGGUCUGGUCCUGAUCUGCAUCCAAAACAAGGAGGCAUAAGCAACAGUUUGCUUAGUGAUGCGGUCAUUCCGUCUCACUCAGCCAUGUAAACCAAUCGAGUCAAUCAGUCAAUAAACAGACAUGCUUAUCAUCAGUCAGUUACUUUAGCUGGCCCAAUCAUCCCAAGCAAACGCACCAUCAGAUUCAGUCAAGCCCUAGCAGGCCAUUACGGCUCUAGGCGCAUGAUCUGAUCCAGAUGCGUCGAUGGAAGGAACCGACUGUUCGGACCAAGCCAGAACUUAGCAGAUAAUUCGAAUUAGACAAGCAAUCAGUACAUAGAACAUUCCUAUCAUUCAGACUACGAUUCAGUACGAUAAGCUACGGUCACGCACUCACCUUUUUCUUAGAGUCGGUAUGUUCUGUUUGAUUCGGUCUCUUCUGACACCUCUUGAGCGGUUUCUGUCGGAUCUUCGAACGUUCAGACAGUCGGAAUCAUCCCACAGACGAUCGUUCUUGACUCGGACUUGAUCGAUCCAGCCAAAUAUCAAAAGUUCUCUCUUAAUCGGAAUUUUCUCUCUCUAAGUUUCGCUCUGGUUCUUUCUUUCUGUUUCCGAACAGAAAACUGGCAUAAUAAGACCAAGGAGACGAUUAAAAUGGGCAGUUGGGCGGUUUAGGCCCGAGAAACUGCAAAGAUAACCGUUCCUGCUUAUUUUACACGCGACUCUUCAUCCGUAACCGCCACCCCGCGCUCCAAAGCGUGCCAGCGUGAGUUUUUCCCCUUUUUGGACUUUAACUGUUCCCGCCAGUUUUACUUAGACAAAACUUGAGCUAGAGCUGACUGAUGCAGUCGACAACUCUAACCGCCUUGUCUGAAUCAGAUCAAUACUACUGAAUCAGCUCAUCUCAGCUUAGCCGACAGUCUUAACCGCCUUGUCUGAUUUCUGACAAUCGCUGUCUAGCCGACCAGCUCAACCGUCAUGUCCAAAUCCGACAACACUUGUCCGGAUCCGACCAUUGCUGUCUGAAAAGACCGCUUUGCCUGGAUUUUCAUCGAACUGGCUGAACACUACUGAGUUCUGCAAAUCGAACAGCCUGGUCCAAUAACCCGAGCGUAAGACAGACUGAUGGAGCUUUGUCUGGCUCAAAAACAGAUCAGAUCCUAGCUUUAUUCGGUACAUGGUUUCGCUCAAUCCACUACUAAUCAGACUUCCGAACCAAGAUCUCCCAUCCACCCACGGUAAGUCCUUACAACUUUGGCCAGCUCUUUCUAGCAUCAUCAAACCCAUUCAGUACGUUCCAACAGUCCGACCAGUCAGUCCUCAGAUCAUCCUAUCAUCGAUCUUCGGAACACGGUCGCUACACUCUGCACAUGGCCUUAGUGCUGGCGACACAUCAUUCAAAUUUCUGCCCUAUCAACUUUCGAUGGUAGGAUAGUGGCCUACCAUGGUGGUAACGGGUGACGGAGAAUUAGGGUUCGAUUCCGGAGAGGGAGCCUGAGAAACGGCUACCACAUCCAAGGAUGGCAGCAGGCGCACAAAUUACCAAAAUCCUGACACGGGGAGGUAGUGACAAUAAAUAACAAUACCGGGCUCUUUGAGUCUGGUAAUUGGAAUGAGUACAAUCUAAAUCCCUUAACAAGGAUCCAUUGGAGGGCAAGUCUGGUGCCAGCAGCCGCGGUAACUCCAGCUCCAAUAGCGUAUAUU